rnacentral:rRNA from 1 species
AACGGUAGCACAGAAGAGCUUGCUUUGUGUGACGAGUGGCGGACGGGUGAGUAAUGUCUGGGAAACUGCCCGAUGGAGGGGGAUAACUACUGGAAACGGUAGCUAAUACCGCAUAAUGUCGCAAGACCAAAGCAGCCCGCACCUUCGGGCCUCUUGCCAUCGGAUGUGCCCAGAUGGGAUUAGCUUGUAGGUGGGGUAACGGCUCACCUAGGCGACGAUCCCUAGCUGGUCUGAGAGGAUGACCAGCCACACUGGAACUGAGACACGGUCCAGACUCCUACGGGAGGCAGCAGUGGGGAAUAUUGCACAAUGGGCGCAAGCCUGAUGCACCCAUGCCGCGGGUAUGAAGAAGGCCUUCGGGUUGUAAAGUACUUUCAUCGAGGAGGAAGGCGUUGUGGUUUAUAACCUCUUUCGAUUGACGUUACUCGCAGAAGAAGCACCGGUUAACUCCUUGCCAGCAGCCACGCCCCCUCCCCCC